rnacentral:rRNA from 1 species
GCCCGUAGUCCAUGUAGGCUGCAAUGGGGGGCGUAGUGUGCUCUUUUUGACGGUAGGGGGCGUUCAGCACUUGCCCAUACCAAACUCGUUGCAGCCUGGCAUUUGGCUCGGGGCGUUUGCCAAUGGUGGGCGUCCCAGUUGGGGAAGGACAGAUGUUGUACAGUGCCUUGAGGUAAUCAACGUGCUUCAAGCAGGUCUUGACACGAGCCUUGUAUGGAUUGCAUGGCACACUUAGAGGAGCCGGGGCGCAGGUGAAGAGAGAUGUAAUGAAGGUUGUCUGCUUGGUGUUUAACAAGGUGUAUGCAGAACGCGCUAUGUUCAAGAGGGGCUAAUUUAGACAUCGGUACUGCGAUGAGAGGGGUGAAAUCCAGUGACCAUCCUAUGAUCAGCUGCUGCGAAGGCGGUUGUAUGUUAUGUUCCCUCUGAUAAAGGACUAAGGAUUGGCUCUCAAAGGCGAUCAGAUACCGCUGUAGUCCAAUCAGUAAAUGAUGCCGACUAGGCCAAGGGCUUAUAUUCAUACAGCUGAUUGGCUCUUGGCCUUAGAGAAAUCAAAGUCGAUGGGCUCCGGGGGGAGUAUGGUCGCAAGACUGAAACUUAAAGGAAUUGACGGAAGGNCACCACAAGGUGUGGAGCCUGCGGCUUAAUUUGACUCAACGCGGGACAACUUACCAGGUCAGGACAUGAGAAGGAUUGACAGAUUAAUAGCUCUUUCAUGAUUUUAUGGGUGGUGGUGCAUGGCCGUUUUUAGUUCGUGAAGUGAUUCGUCAGGUCGAUUCCUUAAACGAGCGAGAUCUCUGUCUGUCAUUGGCCUAGCAGUCGUUGACUUGAGCUAGCGAAAAAGGAGGCUGACUAGUGCUCUAUAAGAGACGAUCACUGUCAAAGGUGAUGGAAGUGGGAGCCAAUAACAGGUCUGUGAUGCCCUUAGAUGUCCUGGGCCGCACGCGUGCUACACUGGCUGGCAUAGCGAGAACUUUAAGCCUAUGCCUGAAAGGCGGGAGGGCGAACUUUAAAUCCAGUCGUGACGGGGAUAGAGCAUUGUAAUUAUUGCUCUUGAACAAGGAAUACCUAGUAAUCGCGAGUCACUAUCUCGCGUUGACUAUGUCCCUGCCCUUUGUACACACCGCCCGUCGCUACUACCGAUCGAGUGGCCCAGUGAGGCUCUCGGAUCUACUCUGUCCUUAUGGGCAACCAU